GAUCUUGGAAGAAAAAAAUGCAUCAAACAUUUUUAUUUAGAACCAGCGAGCAGUCGAAUGAGACAAUACAGUCAUACAAGGGUAUGGCAACACUCAAUUUUCAAACUUUGCAAUGUUAAGUUUAUUUUAAUUCUCCGAUAAAAAAAAAGUUCAUAUGUCAAAUAAAACUUAUAAUACUAAGCCAGGCUAACUCGUUCAUUGCCCAGCCUUAAAAGUGGCACAUAAUGGACUAAUAAAGAGCCUACAAGUGACAUAAUUACCGAGAAGCUUAACACCACAAGAUUCAAAAGUCUUCUUUACUUUAAACUUCGUGUCAAGUCAAAACCAGGCAAACAAAUUGAAACGGAGGGAGCAUUAUAUUAAUUUGAAUAGUGAAUCUACUGAACAUGAGCAGAUGGGAAUUCCAAGGUCAACAGAGGCAACGUAUGACAAUUUGUUGGAGCAUUAUGUGGCACAAGCUGCUCAUAAAAUAACCUUUUUGCUGAUGAAAAUAGUACAAAAGAUGCACAUGCUGAGUCUCCUAUAAAUUGGUAUAAGUCUUCAUUAGAAUGAUCAGUAAUUUAAAAACAAUACUUAAUUCAAUACACCUAAAAGUGCAAAGAACAAAGUAGAAACAAAUAAUCAAGGAAGAGAACUCCUAGGAGAAAACACUUAUUUUGAGGGAAUCACAAGGGAACUACAAUAACAAGAACAGAUAACAAAUUUCUACCUAGACUAUUCCCUCCAUAUCAUAGUAAGGCUAGUGACUCCAUGAGAUUGUAUUCUAUAUAAACCCUUUGCAAAAAUAUGAAAAAAUGUUCAAAAUAACCACGUCGACAUCACAUGCACACACAUAGACAGUGAAAAACUCACCUCACUAUCCAAACACCUUUAGAAAGAAUAGAAUGGCCACUGGAGCAGCUGCAAUGAUGCUUCAGUGUGUCUUUGACGGAAGCUUGUCCAUGUCAGAUAUGGAUAUCGAGAGAUGACCUUGCCAUAAAAACUGCAGUUGUGCAUUGCACAAACAGAAGGGCCGGGGAUAUAUCACAGCCAAGCACUUGUGUCCAUAGUAGGAAUAUAUCAUUCCCCAAAAGGCAAAUCUGGAAAGAUAUGAUUUUGUCAAUAGAAACUCCCAAAUUCACUUCUCCAUCUUCAUCGUCUUGAGAUAAUUAAUCAGUUGGGAGUGUACAGCAUACAGCUCCAAUGUUAGCUAGUAGUUGAUAGAUUUUCCUUUGUACAUUCUGGUAAGUACAUGUAUACUUCAGUAUCCGCUUCAUAGGUGAUGCAAAUUUACAAAAGAAAGAAAUGCAACUUGUUUUCUUUCUUUCCAGGAUUCAAAAGAUUUUAACUUUAGCGAACACUGAGAAUGCAGCAUUUGAAUUCACAUUGUACACGUUCGUUAGUAGAAUUAGUUUUUGUUCACUAACAGAGUUUGUACACUGAUUCUAAACUUACCAUCACUUCAUCUUUCACAUUCUUUUCUUCUGUCCUGUUAGGCUCCCAUAGUCCCCGAAAUUAGUCCACUGGUUUGUUAUUUACACUUCUCUCAUCCUCAUUGUUUAACAAAUUCUGUUCCUCGUAGUCUAUUAAAUUUCGUUAUUUCACUAAGACAAAUGGUUUGUUCAUAGUUCAUUCUGCGUCAUCAGUAAAGUCAAAGGGAAUAAUGUCGGAAUGGCCUACUUCUAUGUCUUUUCUGAACUUACAUUGCCAUUCACAAUAUACAAGGAAAUACUUUGUAAGCCUUUUCUAAAUCAUCUGUCACUUUCACCAGAUCUGUUUACUACUCAUCCAAAUGGAUUUGUAACGUGUUUUCAACUGCUCUUUAAAUAUAUGCAAGGGUUAAUACCAAAAGCAUCCAAGAUAGAGAAAUCAAAAAAGCAACUCAGUGCACUAAGCUUCUACUGAGUAGGGUCACAGUCUUACCUUGCAUUUCUGCAAAGAGGUUAUCUCCACAGCUCGAACCCAUGACCUCACAUAGCAGUAACUUUACCAAUUACGCCAAGCUCCCCUUCUCAAGAUGGAAAAGCUAUGUCAAUAUUUGCACAAAAGUCUUAUCAUUCAGGGUCUACAGCCAUCAAUAAUGCAGUUGAACUUGUAUGGAAACCCCACCACUUGAAGGGCCAGAGAAGGUUUGUAAUUUUGGUAUAUUUUGUAUAUCUUUAGUUUAAGACCGCAAGAUUCAAAAGUCUUCUUUAAUUUCUUGAAUUUCGUGCCAAAUCAAAACCAGACAA
rnacentral:lncRNA from 1 species